AUGUCCGACCCCGUGGAUAGCUCUAGCCCGCGGAAGAAAGGCCGCACCUUGUCUCGUUUCCCGUGCGCGUCUCCCCACAGUGACGGCGGCAUGGCGGUCGAGAGGCUCACCGACGACCUCCUCGUCGAGAUCCUCGCGCGUCUCCCGGUCAAGUCACUCUGCCGCUUCAACGCCACCACCAGCGACUGGCUUCUGAAAUCCCCCGUCCGCUUCGCCGAUUUCCCGGGGAGAUGCUCCCCUCCGAUCGACACCUCCUGCGCCUUCCUGCCCAACCACCGCCGCGUCCAUCUGCUGGACUGCUGCAGCGGCCUCCUCCUCUGCCGCUGGUACGUCUCGGCCCAGGGCGAUGAGUUCCAUUAUGUCGUGUGUAAUCCUGCCACGCAUAAGUGGACCGUGUUGCCGGACUCCGGCAAGGCCACCAGCGAGGUGGCCACCACACGUUUGGGCUUUGAUCCGGCCGUGUCGUCGCAUUUCUAUGUGUUUGAGUUCAGAAAUGAGCACGACCAGCUUUGGGACCCUGACAUUGUCGGGGUGGCAGAGUAUUCGUCUGAAACCGGAGGAUGGGUUCACAAGGAGAAGAAAUGGAAUGCAGACAUUAGGAUCAUUAAUCGUCAGUCUGCAUCUGUUUUUCUUAACGGCUAUCUGCAUUUUGAAGCCGAUUGUCGUGGGAUAUCCCCUUGUCUAGCUGUGGUGGACACCAAGGGGGAAACAUGGAUGAACAUUGAUGUCCCUGACGCUGACGGUCUGCUUGAUGGUUUUAUUCAGCGGUCACAGGGUCGCCUGCAUUAUGCCAAUUUUCAGCAAGAUGAAGAUGGUGUUACCAUUCGACUAGUAGUUUAUGUUCUCGAGGACUAUCAAAGCAGAGAAUGGAAACUGAAGCAUAGCGUUGACACUUCAUACAUACUUGGAGAAACAGAUUCCAAUUUCUGCCUUGACAAGGAUUUUGAAUGGAUUGCGAUUCAUCCGGAAUGCAACAUGAUAUUCUUCAAUGUUGGUUGGUUUAUCACAUUCACUUGCUAUAAUAUGGAUAGCGGGCAAGUCAAGCUGAUCUCUGGUCCUGUAGACGGGAAGCCGCCAUAUAUGCCAUAUGUGCCGUUGUAUGCAGAGUUACAGUCGUUGCACAUUUGA
rnacentral:rRNA from 1 species